UUUGAGAGUUGUUCCAUCCUUAAAUGUAAAGCAAGGAUUUAAAACAGUGUGAGAAAAGGUUAACAUUGUCGCCUAUGGGAAAUGUAUUGGUGGACUGUAUACCCCAUAUAUAUUGAGUACGUCUAUUGGUUCAUGGUGAUACAGGAAAACUUCAAGGUUCCUGCAGAUGGUGUUUAAAACUAUUGGCCAGUGAACACAAACCCAUUUAAUUAUAUUUUGAAUCUUCACCAGGAGAAAAAAGAUGGCAGUACUUCUAAUGUAAGCAGCUACUAGGGAAGAUUUAAUGAAGGAAGAUGAGGAAGUGGAGAAAAAGCUGAAGAACAAGGAGGACAAGGUGAAGAAAGGACAAGGGCACAGUGACUUGCAGUGUGUGUCAUGUAACAUUAUUACAACAUCUAUAUCAUGGGUCCAUAAUUUUGAGUAAGUCAUUCAUCAACCACUUUAUCUGUACUGGAAACCAUUUCUGAGAGGGAUGAAGUGAUGGAAGAUAAUGAGCCAGAGGGUGGAACGGAAGAGAAAGGGAAAGAAAUAAAGAAAAAGGCAGAAUGAAAAAGGACUAGAACUUGCAAUAGAAGAAAAAGUUGAGGAAAUGAAGAGGAAGAAAUUGAAGAUGAAAAGAAGAGCUCUGGGAGGAAAAAAUUCCAUUUGAAAGAUGUGUGGACAAAAGAAAAACAGCCAUAGAGUGCCAAUGUGGAGUGGAAUAAGUCAGUAUGACUUAAACAUGGUCAAUUGAAGUGUUUGAAUGCCCCUCCAGAAAGCAGAACAAUCUUUGAAUUUGCAGGAAAGAGUAUAAAAUUUGCUGUUAAAAUAUCAUAACAGCCAGACAAAGAUUAAAUAACAACUACAUGUACAUCUAAAGAAUUCUUUUGUCAUAAUAGUGAUUCAUGUGCUAGUACAUGUGACAAGUGCUAUAACGACCUAAUAUAAGUGUGUUUUAGGAGCAUGU